rnacentral:rRNA from 1 species
AUUGAACGCUGGCGGCAGGCCUAACACAUGCCAGUCGAGCGAGCGGCGGCCGGGUGAGUAAUGUCUGGGAAACUUCCUGAUGGAGGGGGAUAAAUACUGGAAACGAUAGCUAAUAACCGAUAGCAUCGGAUGUGCCCCGAUGGGAUGAGCUAGUAGUUGUGGUAACGGCUCAACUGGGCGACGAUCCCUAGCUGGUCUGAGAGGAUGAACAGCAACAAUGGAACUGAGACACGGUCCAGACUCCUCCGUGAGGCAGCAGUGGGGAAUAGUGCGCAAUGGGCGAAAGCCUGACGCAGCCAUGCCGCGUGUGUGAAGAAGGCCUUCGGGUUGUAAAGCACUUGUAGUGGGGAGGCGUUACCCGCAGAAGAAGCAACGGCUAACUCCGUGCCAGCAGCCGCGGUAAUAC